GGGUUUCUGCCCAGCUCACCCGCUGUCAGCUGGGGUCCUGCUCUGGUGGGAGGAAGAGGCUCAGACGCUUCCCUGCCCUCUCGCCUCAACCACCUCGAGGCAGCGGCUCCCAGGAUGUGCACUUUGACGACUAAAGCUGAGCCGGCGCCGCCACGACCUUGGGCGGGUGGUCGGCCUCUGCCCUGAGCAGGAAGUAGAAAGUCUCAGCAGACCCUUCCUGAGGGCCGAGCAACAGUGUAGUGGCGUAUUCCACAUAGCAAACAGAUGUACACUAGAUUUUGAUGGCAUUUUUCCAGGGACCCUGGGAGCAUCUGUGUUCUCGUGUUCUUCUUGCCUGUGAGGCCUCUUCUCUCUGAGGACAGAUGGUAGGACAGAGAGAAGACAGCAAAUGGAAAACAAAGGCUGCUAUUUUUUUGUGGGGCAGCAUUUCUUCCUGUGACAAUAUGGUGUAAGACAAAAUUGUGGCCUGCCAUGAAGUUGUGAGAGAAAAGCAUCCCUCAUUUCUUCAGGAAAGGCCACUGCCGUUCCCUCCGGCUCCUCUUCUCAGGAGUUUGUGCAUUCAUGAGGUGAAUUCCUUGGAAGAUGAGGGCCAAGUCUUAUUCUUCUCAGUCUCUUCUGCAUCUAGCAGAAGAAUAAUGGUUGCACAGAAAAUCUUGGUUCAGUGGUUGAGUGAAUGAAUGGAUGAACAGGCUCUUGCACACAAAGAAGAGACAUGAUGUAUUUGCAUCCUUCCCUGCUUCAGCCAGGUCCCCAGACAGUCCCGGUGUGCACACUUCCCUGCUUCUGUUCAUGAUGUUCUCUGAACCUGGGAUCACCUUUCCCCUUCCUCUUACCUGCCCGAUCCUACUUGUCCUCCCAGAUUCAGUUUUCUGAAGCUCAGAGGGACACCUUGU
rnacentral:lncRNA from 10 species